ACUGUAACAUGCAUGACAUCGAUGUAGCAGUGAUUUCUUUAGAGUCUUAAAAGAGUUACUAGGCAUGUACGGGCAUUAACCCGUCUAAGUAAAUUUUGUACCGACGAGACUUCAUACGAUAAUAUUUGGUUUAACUUUUCAGUGAAGACUAAAUAAUAAUAAGUUAAUAGCCUGAAACAAUUAAAUUAGAAUUAGUAAAUGGCUGAAAUGUUAAGUGUUACGCGACCACUCCUGGACAAACUGCCUUGAUGAUACUAGUGUGUGUUUCUUUUGUGUUCAUUUUACUGCAGUGUGUUAUGGCUGAACUACUGUGACGGAAAUAUACUGUCUGUUGACAUCAAGUCCCUGAUAUUCUCCUCAGAAUUUUUCUCUCUCACUGUGAAUGGGCGGUCAAGUUCCACACCCAAAUUGGUUUGAAGUAACAGAUCCUGGCUUGAGUCUCACGUACUUGGCUGCCACUGGACUGAAACCGAACUCGUCAGUCCACUCGGCUACCUGGGAACAUACACUC